ensembl:lncRNA
GCAAAUAUAUCAAGUUUAUUAAGAAAGGCAAAACGGAUCCUUUUUAUGCUAUUAGUACUAUUGGCUUGUAAUCUCUUGAUGCAGUUUAGACAUCACAGAGUUUCCGAUUUAGUAUUCUGCCCAGAGGAUGAUAUAAAAGCCACUAUUGAUUUCUAUUCCCUGUAAGCAGGCUUCAUCUCUAUGUAAAUUAAAGAUUCUACAAUGUAUUUCACAUUAAAGAUUAGUUGUCAUUCCAGCGUCGAUCUAUUCUUACACCAGCAGGGUGACAUACUGGCAAGUUCCAGACAAUGAAAGGAGUGCUGCACUUAAAUGAUGCUUCAAAAACCAUCAAUUGCCUUCAUCAUUUCAGGGGAAAAAUUAUCCCUUUUUUUUUUUUUCCACUGGAAAGGGACAGCAGAAGAUGCCAACAUCUUCCAUCUACCAACUAUUCAAAUCCUUCCAAGUAUCCGGAGAAGUUCUAGAAGUGAGAGAGGAAAAAAAGAAGCCAUAUAAAUGUGCUAGGACCCUUCACACAGUACUAAUCCGACACCUCAGCUGGCUUCUCCCUUAACCACAUUCUUUAGCAGUAGGGAACAUGGGCACUGCAAGAGAGCUCUAACUGUACCUCAGUGAGGGUGCUAGGGGCUCUUCCCUUGGAGAUCAGGAACCAUUUGCUUUCUCAUAGUGAUGGUGAAGGCAGUGACAGGAUCCACAGCUGACCAGUCACUGUACUGCAGGAGGGGCGCCUUAGAUCCAUCUCAGAGGCCACUGUCACAAGCUGGAGAGCAACCUUAGCAGUGACACCAAACACUGGAUGCAGCCCUGAGCAGUUCUGGCAUGACCCUCACAACUGAAGUCCCUUCCAACCUGGGGUCCUAUCCUAUCCUAUCCUGGGACCCUAUGAAAGAGGAGCACUUUGCCUCUCCAGUCCUUUUCUAAUAGGCAGACACACAGCUCUCCCCUCCCCCUUGAUUACUAGCCUUUUCAAGCCAAAUAGUGCCCUCAGGUUAUUGCUCAUUAGGCUGCUGAGGUAGGAAAUUCCAGGGGACCUCCUCUAGCAGGGGGAUGGACUAGGUGGUCCCCAGAGGUCCCUUCCAACCCCUACAAUUCUGUGAAAUCUCAGAGCAUACCAAAUUCAUUGCACUUCUCCCAGGCAAGGCUAGAGAGAAAAUGCCAGGGUUUUCUGGUUUGGGUAUAUUCCCCUCAGCUACAGCCAUUGAAAGCCCACUGUGCCAAUGUAGUAUACACAGCUAAUUCUUUUAGUGAUUUUUUUUUGCUGCGUAACAGAAGAAGAGCAGCACACACACUGCCAGCCACGCACGAUCUCCCCUGCAGAGAGAGGAAAUUCCACCAUUUUUAACUCAGUCAUUACAUUUACAGCACCACAGACCAAGCAUAAAUGCUCAUCUUCCCCAGAGCUCAAGCAUGUAUCAGAAGGAAAUGCUUACAACUCAUCAACCCAAAGCUUCUGCAGUCAACACCCAGCUUCCAUGGAGGCCUUCUCUACAUGUGUGUGCAGUCAUAGAACCAUAGAACACCCCGAGUUGGAAGGGCCCCACAACGUAACUGACUCCUGGCUUCCCAGAGGGACACUGCAUGGUAUCACCCAGUUACUGGCAGAGCAACAGUUAACGUCAUCUGCAGAGGACCAUUCCCAGCAUCUUUAUCCCCUUAGAGCUAUCAAAUCAGCACAGCAGAGCUCACAUUAGAGCUUGUGCCAGUAGCUGAGUUUCUCUUUGCUUCAGAACUUCCGCAGCCAAGGAAGGUUUCCUCACUGGGAUGAGGUUAGAGGUAUGUGGGUUUUGUGAGACAAUCAACAGUUUUAAAGACAUCCAAAUCUCACCAGGUGAUGUAGAAAUGCUUACUCUGUGGUUGCACAGUAGAACUAAAUGAUGGCGUUAAGAGUUUGGGGAACAGCGAAAUGCCUGAAUCUCCGUAUCUUCAUCUCUCUUGUGGGUUAUCAUACAGAUUCAUCUUAAUUAGAAUAAACUCUCAUGAUUGCCUCUUUUGUCCGCUGGAGGUCAGUAUCCUACAGAAAUACAGUUCCUCUUACCUGGUGUAAGGGUUUGCAGAGGAUAACAAUCUCGUAGCAGCAUCCGAUUUUUCUGUCACAGGAUUUUAAGGCUUCUAAUACAAGGAGAUGAAGACAGAAGCCUGGUCUGGGUCCUGCACUGUCAAGGGAAGAUCUCCCUUCUCAAUCAACCUGGCAUUUUCCUAAUGUCGUAUGAAGAACUCAACAAACUGCAGACUUACUCUUUUCCGAGGUGCACACCUGGCCUUGUAUUUUAAACAAACACCGAAGCAUAACUGCUCAGUGAUAGAUUGUUUUGCUACCUUGUUAAUCCUACUUGGCUCAUUUUGUAGGAUUAGCUCCAGAGCUGCCAGCAGUUUGGGUGCAUCAAAGAGGUGGCUUUUUGCCUCUCCACAGCUUAGCGACAUGUAAUGCUGAAGAAUCACAAUAGUAGAUGAAAGUGAGUCUGUCCUGGAAACAUAAAUGGAUGCGCAAGCAGCUGUUCCGCAGUGCAGUGUCACAGCCACCUUUCAGGCACUGUCCAUGUCAGCAUUUUAGCUUGGAUCACAAACACUUCUGAGAAAAUCUGCUCAUUCUCAC